GUGAUCUGGAAACGUGUACAUCAUCAUGGAAUGAGAGGUGCUCUAGAUGUGAAGGAGUACGAGAUGAAAAACCUGACUAUAGAGCUUAUGUUGUUUCCAGUGAUAAAACACGCUGUACAAAGGCGUGUUCCUGGCGAUCUGACAGUACUCCAUGUUAUCCCGGAAGCUGUGCUAAUGAAUUGGCAUCAAAUUGUAUAUGUACCUCAGGAUUUACAGGAUCAAACUGCGAUAAAAUAACAGAAAAGCCUUCAAUUAAAGAGAAUAUACUAAGUCUGACAGCUAAUAAUGGCGGUAAAACUGAUGCACCAGGAAAUACAAAUAUAGGACCAGUUCAAGAUACUGUAUGGACUAAUAUGGUUAAUCCUGUUAAUAUUCACUUUAGAUUUACUGCGGAUUACCAACCAGUUGUACCUUCUCGACAGGCGUAUGUCAAGGAUUUUAAAGUUGGCAUUAUUAGUGCG